CUGAAUCCCAUCUGAUGUAGACGUUCAAGCGACGGUGAGGUUUGCUGUUAAGGCUACACUUCCAAGACACAGUUAAGGCAUGUGGUAAUUACCUUGUUUGUGUGGGAGAUCGUCUGCUUGGUUAAUGCCAUUGUAUGAUAGUGAUGUGCACUUCGCGAACGAUUCGUUAUUUUUGAACUACUCUGAUUACUGAAACGACAGACAUGAUUCGUUUUUCUGAGUGACUCGUUCAUUUUAAUCAUCGUUUGACAUGCUAGUGCUUAAAAUACACGCUCUUCCGACGCAGCGGCUCCAGAGACUUGCUCCGACCACAAACUGUCUAUCACAUGCGCGCAGUGCUGCUCAUGGGUCCUUCACCGCUCUGCCGGACAGUCAGCUCUUUCAUACAGAGAACUCAGAGCGUCUGAACCCCACCGGAGGGCGGUAUUUAUCCACCAGGAGAUUGCAGUAGCACCUCAUCUCACACUGAGGCUCUCUAAUGGCACAGCGCGGCUCCCACAACGCCACAGACACAGAGGGACAGAGGCCUCCAUCAUCUUUGGGGUACUAGUUGAAUUACAACAUUGGGAAUGAGAUUAAUAUAAUUGGUUUAAAAUCAAACCAAUUCUCAAUGACUCAACACUUUCAGACUAUAACAGAAUCUGUGAGAAAGUACUAAGACAAGAGAAGCAGGUCUGGAUGUGAUUUACUCCUUGUUGAAGUAAUGAACAAAUAAAAUUUUAUUGGUCACAUACACAUGGUUAGCAGCUUAUUGCGAGUGUAGCAAAAUGCUUGUGCUUCUAGUUUUGCAAUAAUAUCUAACAAGUAAUCUAACAAUUCCACAAAAACUACCUAAUACACAAAUCUAAGGAAAGGGAUGGAAUAAGAACAUAUACAUACAAAUAUAUCGAUGAGCGAUGACCGAGCGGCAAAGGCAACAUGCAAUAGAUGGCAUAAAAUGC
ensembl:lncRNA